rnacentral:rRNA from 1 species
UACGUGGGGUGCAAGCGUUGUUCGGAAUUACUGGGCGUAAAGCGCGUGUAGGUGGCUAUUUAUGUCAGGUGUGAAAGCCCUCGGCCUAACUGAGGAAGUGCGCCUGAAACUGAUUGGCUUGAGUACGAGAGAGGAGGACGGAAUUCCCAGUGUAGAGGUGAAAUUCGUAGAUAUUGGGAGGAACACCGGCGGCGAAAGCGGUUCUCUGGGAAUGUCCUGACGCUGAGGAGCGAAAGUGUGGGGAGCGAACAGG